AUGCUCUGGGCUCCCCUCAUCGUCCUGCUGGGGACGUGGUGCACAGGUUCCAGCUCACAGCUUCUGCUGACUCAGCCGCCCUCAGUGUCAGUGUCCCCAGGAAACACCAUGAAACUCUCCUGCACCAUGAGCAGUGGGACCAGCAUCAGUGGCUACGCUGUGUCCUGGUACCAACAGAAACCUGGGAAUUCUCCACAAUACCUGCUGUAUUACUAUAUGGAUACCAACAAGGGCCAGGGCUCUGGGGUCCCUGCUCGCUUCUCUGGGUCCAAAGACACGGCCAGUAACGCCGGCUAUCUGACCAUUGCCGGAGCCCUCACAAAGGAUGAUGCUGACUAUUACUGUGUUGUGUGGAGUGGGAGUGCUCCUCACAGUGACACAGACAGAUGGGGAAGGACCCAUGUGUAA